UGGCUGCGUGGAAAUUUUUUAGUAAAUCAUUUUGAUGUUCAGCCACUUUGUUUUGCUUUUGAUACUUUAUACUCCGAAAUGAUAUUGACUCAACCCUUGAUAUCUAGCUUCCAGAACAAGAAACCACUUGUUCCCUUGGACUAAAUCCGGAACGGUAAAUUUCAUAUGAAUAUAAUAUCAAAAUCUUGGAAUAAUUCAAGGUUACAUAGCCUAUAAACUAAAACAUAUAUGAUUAAGACACAUUGAAAAUGUCAAUCAAGAAAUGGCACACGAACAAAAGAAUUUAGAACUUACAACAGCAAGCAUAGCCCAUCUGCAGUGAAUGAGUUCAGACUCCUUGUAUCUCUCAAGGUUCUCAGGAACUUCGCCAAGCCGAAGUGGGUCAAAUCCAAAGUCCCUGGAACAAAGAAACACAAGCACACAACAAAAACAUUAGCAACAAAAAUUUACGUGCUAUGGCAGCCAGCUAGUUCAACUGGUAAAAUAUUCUAAAUGCUUGCUUGCUU
rnacentral:lncRNA from 1 species